GGCACAGUGGUGCAGUUGUUUAACGCGUCGGCUUACACUGAAUCUGUCGCUGAUUCGAGUCCAGCAGGUACCC
rnacentral:tRNA from 1 species